rnacentral:pre_miRNA from 1 species
UUUGAGGCAGGUGUUGGCCUGCUGGCCGGCGACGAGCUCUAGUGCCCGCGCAACGCUUCGCCGUCCAGCAGGCCAAUACCUCACUCGAGAUCUUGUUUCU